GCUGGAGAGAAUGAGCUUGGAGCCGCAGGGCUUAAUCCCGCGCGGCUCAGAGAUGGGUUUCUGGACUCGCGAAGCAGCUGCAACAAGGCAUCACUCACUGUAUAAGUAUUUCCAUUUCUGAGAGCAAAAGGAAGAACUUAAGCGGGCGGCACUUGGAGUGUAAAUUGCUUUGUAGUAUUUAAAGGCAGAAUGGAUCCUGGGCAGCCGAGCUGAUCAUGAGGUUCCUGAGGCCUCCUAGCCGUGCUUCCUGUGCAGCCUAUGGAACUAAUCACUGUUGUAUUUUUAAACCUUAUUCCUGGAAGCACUACGGAUAUCAGAUCAAUUUAGAAAGCCAAAGAGUACCUCUGGGAAUGAAAUGGCAGUAAUAGAAACAAUAUUUGACCAAACUAUCGCUGUAUGCCAAUGAUGCCAAAAAUCACAGUAACCUGGCAGCAACAAACCAGCAGGACUUCCUGUGAAAUCAUGACCGCCAUGUGCUCUUUCAGCCUCCAUCAAUUCCUACCUCUAAGCACCUGAGAGCCAAAGCAAACCACAGGAAACCACAGGUACUAACUCUUUUAGACCUGAUGAAGUGUCUCCCAAAGACAGUCUGGCAUGACUCAAACUAAACAUCAGCUUUUCCCGGCUCUCAAGCCUGCUGGUCCCUGAACUAAAACUCACAUUAUCAACUCUACUGGUUCUUAGGCCUUUGGAGUCAGACUGGAACUACAGCAUUGACUCUUCCGGAACUCCAGCUUACUGACUACAGAUCUUGGAACUUUUCAGCUUCCACAACCAUAACGAAAGCCAAGCAUAUUCCAUCAUUUCCUAAAACCAAGAUAGAGCACAUACAGGAACUUGCAAAAUAAGGAUGCCCUGCGGUUGUUUUCAGGACUGAAGACAACAGCUCCACAAUGAAACCAAAGCACAAAGAGAGAGAGAAAAGAAAGAGAAAAAAAGGAAGAAAGAAAAGAAAGAUGAAAGAAAGAAAGAAAGAGAAAGAAGAGAGAGGGAGAGAGAGAAAGAAAGAAAAAGAAGGAAAGAAAGAAAGAAGGAAAGAAAAAGAAAGAGAGAAAGAAAGAAAGAAAGAGAAAGAAAGAAAGAAAGAAAGAAGGAAGGAAAAGAAACACAUGGAAAGUGACAGGCUUCCUUUGUAUAUCACCUUGCAUGAUAAAGUGCAGAGAGCUCCAUCAGAGAAACGCAGUUAAAAUCCAGUAGAUACCACCGUACACCUGAAAGAAUUGUGAACAAACAGAUGACAGAAAAACAAAACAAAGCAAAGCAGAACCUGAGAAUUUGAAUUGCUGGUGAGGAUAUUGAGCAAGCGGAACUCCUAUACUUUGCUGGAGGGAAUGGAAAAUAGUACAGGCAAUUUGGAAAAGAGUUAGACUGUUGUAUAUAAAAUUUAAUACAUACUUACCUUACAAAGUAGGAAUCUCAUUCCUAGAUGUCUUCCUAAGAA